UAUUUUUUAAAAUCUAUGCAUACAUCAAUUGUAAUGUAAUUUAUGUUUUUCUUUUUCUGUAGAUAAAACAUGUCUCCCAAAAGAAAAGAAAGUGAAAGUUGAUCAACGUCUGACCACUAAAAAAAGGCUACAGUACAGAAGGAUUCGGAGAAGCUUCUUGAACAAUCUUAGUCAGGGAAAAGUGAAGCUGAGAAGAAAUGUGAAAACAACAUUGAGAGAGGUGGACAAAGGUCAGUAGAUGGUGAUGAGGAAAAUAAAAGUGAGAAAGAGGAGGAAUUAGAGAGUGAGAAAGAGAA
rnacentral:lncRNA from 1 species